rnacentral:rRNA from 1 species
UAAGGAAUAUUGCGCAAUGGGCGAAAGCCUGACGCAGCGACGCCGCGUGGGGGAUGAAGGUCUUCGGAUUGUAAACACAUUUCGGGAGGGAAGAUGGGAUAGGGUAACCUAUCCGGACGGUACCUCCAGAAGCAGCCACGGCUAACUUCGUGCCAGCAGCCGCGGUAAUACGAAGGUGGCAAGCGUUGUUCGGAUUUACUGGGCGUACAGGGAGCGUAGGCGGUUGGAUAAGCCCUCCGUGAAAUCUCCAGGCUUAACCUGGAAAGUGCAGAGGGGACUGUUCAGCUAGAGGAUGGGAGAGGAGCGCGGAAUUCCCGUUGUAGCGGUGAAAUGCGUAGAGUUCGGGAGGAAGGCCGGUGGCGAAGGCGGCGCUCUGGAACUUUUCUGACGCUGAGGCUCGAAAGGGUGGGGAGCAAACA